rnacentral:rRNA from 1 species
UACGUAGGGUGCGAGCGUUAAUCGGAAUUACUGGGCGUAAAGCGUGCGUAGGCGGUUCGUUGUGUCUGUGGUGAAAGCCCCGGGCUUAACCUGGGAAUGGCCAUGGAAACUGGCGAGCUGGAGUGUGGCAGAGGGGGUGGAAGUUCCGCGUGGAGCGGUGAAAUGCGUUGAUAUCUACAGGAACUCCGGUGGCGAAGGCGGCGACCGCUGGACCUUUUCUGACGCUGAGGCGCGAAAGCCAGGGAGCGAACGGG